AGCUGGUCGGCUGCUAGUGGGUUAUCAGAACUUAAUAACAUUACUGUCCCUAAAGUUGGUUUACAACCCCCACUGCUAAAUUUGACUGGAUGAAA
rnacentral:Y_RNA from 1 species